rnacentral:rRNA from 1 species
CCUACGGGGGGCAGCAGUGAGGAAUAUUGGUCAAUGGGCGCGAGCCUGAACCAGCCAAGUAGCGUGAAGGAUGACUGCCCUACGGGUUGUAAACUUCUUUUAUAAAGGAAUAAAGUGAGGCACGUGUGCCUUUUUGUAUGUACUUUAUGAAUAAGGAUAGGCCAACUCCGUGCCAGCAGCAGCGGUAAUACGGAGGAUCCGAGCGUUAUCCGGAUUUAUUGGGUUUAAAGGGAGCGUAGAUGGGUUGUUAAGUCAGUUGUGAAAGUUUGCGGCUCAACCGUAAAAUUGCAAUUGAUACUGGCAGUCUUGAGUACAGUUGAGGUAGGCAGAAUUCGUGGUGUAGCGGUGAAAUGCUUAGAGAUCACGAAGAACUCCGAUUGCGAAGGCAGCUUACUAGACUGCCACUGACAUUGAUGCUCGAAAGUGUGGGUAGCAAACAGGAUUAGAUACCCUAGUAGUC